AAUGGGUCAGCGACUUAUAUUCUGUAGCAAGGUUAACCGAAUAGGGGAGCCGAAGGGAAACCGAGUCUUAACUGGGCGUUAAGUUGCAGGGUAUAGACCCGAAACCCGGUGAUCUAGCCAUGGGCAGGUUGAAGGUUGGGUAACACUAACUGGAGGACCGAACCGACUAAUGUUGAAAAAUUAGCGGAUGACUUGUGGCUGGGGGUGAAAGGCCAAUCAAACCGGGAGAUAGCUGGUUCUCCCCGAAAGCUAUUUAGGUAGCGCCUCGUGAAUUCAUCUCCGGGGGUAGAGCACUGUUUCGGCAAGGGGGUCAUCCCGACUUACCAACCCGAUGCAAACUGCGAAUACCGGAGAAUGUUAUCACGGGAGACACACGGCGGGUGCUAACGUCCGUCGUGAAGAGGGAAACAACCCAGACCGCCAGCUAAGGUCCCAAAGUCAUGGUUAAGUGGGAAACGAUGUGGGAAGGCCCAGACAGCCAGGAUGUUGGCUUAGAAGCAGCCAUCAUUUAAAGAAAGCGUAAUAGCUCACUGGUCGAGUCGGCCUGCGCGGAAGAUGUAACGGGGCUAAACCAUGCACCGAAGCUGCGGCAGCGACGCUUAUGCGUUGUUGGGUAGGGGAGCGUUCUGUAAGCCUGCGAAGGUGUGCUGUGAGGCAUGCUG
rnacentral:rRNA from 1 species